UCAACCCCCCCAUCUUUAAAAAAAAACAACAGAGCUCCCCUCCUCCUCUCAAGGCUCCGGCUUGGAUCCGAUCAAACGCUCCGGCGUUCCUCCGUCGUAUCCUCGCCGCAGGCGGUGGCCGGAGGUACAAAAUGGAACCUUUUCGGUUCCUUUUUGAUGCCGAAGGCCUCCUAAACACGGAUCCAACGCCGAAUCUUGUAAAAGGCGAGCCUAACCCCACAAAACGAGGAGUAACCGUCCGUCUCCUCUUCCUCCGGCGCGGCGCUAAAAGGUAUUUUUUACUCCUUUUUUGUUUUUUAAAGAAAUAAAUCGAAAAAUAAUGAUAUUUUUAUGAAAAGUGUAAGAAAAACAGAGAAGUGAAAGGCGAAAAUCACCUUCAAUCGCUUUGUUUGCUUUUGAUUUCUGAGAAUAUUUGUAAAAGAGGGGAAUCCGACCCCUUACAAUGAUAAUCACUAGCUUUUUAUAGCCCAAAAAUUACAUGUUUUUUAUAUUCUAUUAUUUCUCUCUCUUUGGUUGCUGUGGCUUUCUUUGUUUUCUUCCUUGCAGGUGACGGCGCAAGUGGGACGAUGGGACAGUGGCGGUGCAAGGCGAUGGCGGUGGCGGCUGAAAUCUAGGGGUCAAAGACCCUAGAUGCGGCGUUAGGGUUUCAGACUUUCUGAAACCCUAAGUAACUUUUUUAGGAUGUUGGGCCUGAGCUAUUGGGCUCCGAGUUUGCUGGGUUAGGGCCACUUGAGUUUGAUGGGCUGUUCGGGUUUGGGCUGGUCUGUUUGAGUUUUGUAAUGGGCCCGGUUUUGGGCAAAAUUGGGUUGUACAUUGUCCAUUCAAACAUAUUAAGACUAUUUGGUUUGGUUUGCCUGUCGGUACGUAAGCGCUUAUUCAUGCAAAAGUAUCCUUUUAUCAAUUAAAAAGAACAGCAAUAAGGUAAAACGUCAAUCUCUAAUAGGGUUUGCGGCGUCGGCAAACGAGUGUAGAAUCUUCUACGGUAAGCAAUAGCAUGCUAUCCUAUUUUCCUCCAAUAGCAUAUUUAUUUAUCAUUAAUAAUUAAUUUUAUUUUAAUUGUAAUAAAAAAAUUAUGACAUAAUUCAUCGUUUACAAACACCAUCUUCAUAUAAUAUUUAAAUUUUAUUUUAGAUAAUUUAUGAUUGUAAUUCUUGAACACAUAUGACA
rnacentral:lncRNA from 1 species